rnacentral:rRNA from 1 species
UACGUAGGGGGCUAGCGUUGUCCGGAAUCAUUGGGCGUAAAGAGCGUGUAGGCGGUCCGGUAAGUCCGCUGUGAAAGUCGGGGGCUCAACCCUCGAAAGCCGGUGGAUACUGUCGGGCUCGAGUGCGGAAGAGGCGAGUGGAAUUCCUGGUGUAGCGGUGAAAUGCGCAGAUAUCAGGAGGAACACCGAUUGCGAAGGCAGCUCGCUGGGACGUUACUGACGCUGAGACGCGAAAGCGUGGGGAGCAAACAGG